rnacentral:rRNA from 1 species
UACGAAGGGGGCGAGCGUUGUUCGGAAUUACUGGGCGUAAAGGGCGCGCAGGCGGCCCUUGAAGUCAGGCGUGAAAGCCCCGGGCUCAACCUGGGAGGUGCGCUUGAUACUCGAGGGCUUGAGUGCGGGAGAGGAGAGUGGAAUUCCCAGUGUAGAGGUGAAAUCGUAGAUAUUGGGAAGAACACCGGUGGCGAAGGCGGCCUCU